ensembl:lncRNA TMEM161B-DT TMEM161B divergent transcript
AGAGCGCCGUCGACCCCACGCCACGCAGAGGUGAAGAUACGCAGGACGUCCUCUAAAGCAACUUCCGUGGGUGCCAGGUUGUGGGCUGGGGGCGGUGCUGACCUUGAGAGAGCGGAGGAGGCGCAGGCGCAGCACAGUUUAAACUUGAUUUUGUGAGGGGACGAACAGCGUGACAAUUAAAAGAAGAUCUGGGAAUCAAAAGCUUCCUGAGGCCUUCACCAGAAGCAGAUGCUGGUGCCGUGCUUCUACAGCCUGCAGAACUGAAGGACUUUACAGCUUCUCUUUCGCAUAUCCAAAUUGCCAGCAUCACCGCUCUUGCACUCCAAGCCAUUAUUAAGUAAAGUAAAGAACACAAACACUGUGAUACUGCUACACUUGAUCUGAUAACCAAGAAGUCUACUAAGUGACUAACAGAAGAGAAGACAUGGAGAAGAGGAGGGAGUAGUUGUGACCGUGGAGGCAGAGAAUGGAGUAAUGUGAUCAUAAAUCAAGGAAUGCUGACAGCCACUAAAGCUGGAGAAGGCCAAGGACAGAUAUUCAAUCCUCCCGUAGAAGUACAGCCCUGCUAAUGCAUUGAUUUUGGACUUCUGGCCUCAGAACUGUAAGAGAAUAAAUUUCUAUUGUUUUAAGCCUUCA